GACGAACGCUGGCGGCGUGCUUAACACAUGCAAGUCGAGCGAUGAAGCACCUUCGGGUGUGAAUUAGCGGCGAACGGGUGAGGAACACGUGAGAAAUCUGCCUUCAACUCUGGGAUAACUCCGUGAAAACGGGGCUAAUACCGGAUAUGAAACCUUCAGGCAUCUGAGGGUUUGGAAAGUUUUUCGGUUGAAGAUGAUCUCGCGGCCUAUCAGCUUGUUGGUGAGGUAAUGGCUCAACAAGGCGACGACGGGUAGCCGGCCUGAGAGGGCGACCGGCCACACUGGGACUGAGACACGGCCCAGACUCCUACGGGAGGCAGCAGUGGGGAAUAUUGGGCAAUGGAGGAAACUCUGACCCAGCGACGCCGCGUGCGGGAUGAAGGCCUUCGGG
rnacentral:rRNA from 1 species